AGGCCGACAGGCGUAGGCGAUGGAUAACAGGUUGAUAUUCCUGUACCACCUAUAAUCGUUUUAAUCGAUGGGGGGACGCAGUAGGAUAGGCGAAGCGUGCGAUUGGAUUGCACGUCUAAGCAGUAAGGCUGAGUAUUAGGCAAAUCCGGUACUCGUUAAGGCUGAGCUGUGAUGGGGAGAAGACAUUGUGUCUUCGAGUCGUUGAUUUCACACUGCCGAGAAAAGCCUCUAGAUAGAAAAUAGGUGCCCGUACCGCAAACCGACACAGGUAGUCAAGAUGAGAAUUCUAAGGUGAGCGAGCGAACUCUCGUUAAGGAACUCGGCAAAAUGACCCCGUAACUUCGGGAGAAGGGGUGCUCUUUAGGGUUAACGCCCAGAAGAGCCGCAGUGAAUAGGCCCAAGCGACUGUUUAUCAAAAACACAGGUCUCUGCUAAACCGUAAGGUGAUGUAUAGGGGCUGACGCCUGCCCGGUGCUGGAAGGUUAAGAGGAGUGGUUAGCUUCUGCGAAGCUACGAAUCGAAGCCCCAGUAAACGGCGGCCGUAACUAUAACGGUCCUAAGGUAGCGAAAUUCCUUGUCGGGUAAGUUCCGACCCGCACGAAAGGCGUAACGAUUUGGGCACUGUCUCAACGAGAGACUCGGUGAAAUCAUAGUACCUGUGAAGAUGCAGGUUACCCGCGACAGGACGGAAAGACCCCGUGGAGCUUUACUGUAGCCUGAUAUUGAAAUUCGGCACAGCUUGUACAGGAUAGGUAGGAGCCUUUGAAACGUGAGCGCUAGCUUACGUGGAGGCGCUGGUGGG
rnacentral:rRNA from 1 species